AUAUACAUAUGUAAAUUAUAAAUUGGUCAUAACCAAAUGUAACAUAACUAGGAAUAAUUAACCUAGUUAGUAAAUUGAAUUGGAAAAAAAAAACAAUAAGGAAAAACAUGAAAUAGAUAACCAUUUUACAAAAUAUGGAACUAUAGGGACUAAAAGAGGCAAAAGGGAAAAAUGUUUUUAAUUAAAACAAAUAAACACCAAAACACACACACAUGUGUGUGUUUGGUCGACGUUUAUACAGAGCCAGGAGAAGGGUUCUUUUCAAAACCCUAAACUCACUAAAAUCCAUCAAAAUCUAAGGGAAAUCGAGUUGGAAAUUAGGGCUUUAACUAAAUUCAUGAUCAACCAUGCUAGGAGAUCACAAGUUGACUCUAAACAAGCUAGGUGGGAGCUUGGAAAGGAACGGGUCAAACGAAUCAUGGAUGCGAAGAAUGUUUGCGCGAACGCGAGGUGAAUGCCAAGAGUGCCCGGAUGAAGAUCAAGCUCGAUGAGGAACCGAACACAAUAAAAUCUAACACUCGGGAUUAAAGCUUCCGCACGGCGUUACGCCAUAUCUUUUAAACGACGAACUUAUUUAUAUUACGUUAAAAAAACUUUUAAGUUGUAAAAGUUUUUUUUAGAUUACUUGUAUUUUCUAAGAAUACUUAAUCGCAAUUUCAUGUUUAUUUUCGAUAUUUAUACGAAAACCUUAAAAAUUAUAACA